GGCCAUAUAGCUCAGUGGGAGAGCAAACGGCUGUUAACCGUUCGGUCGCAGGUUCAAUCCCUGCUGUGGCCG
rnacentral:tRNA from 1 species